AACGUCUGAACUGCAGCAUCUUGUGAGGAUCAAACGGAGUAUCAAGAUUCUAUACCACAUGAGCUAACUGUUCUUUCACAUUCUGCAAGGAGAGCAACGAGUAGAUUGCACAGUUAGUGCAAUCAACACAUCCUUUUUUGAUUCGGCUAUAAAACUGCCUUCCACAUAAAAUUAAAUACUGCAACAGGAGUAGAAUCAGCAGCCAAAAUCUUUCUGAGCAGUUAUGACCAGUUUAAAUUAAACUACAGCUGCAAUUAUUUCUUGGCUACGGACCUGGAGGGUGAUAGGAGGCACAGAGGCACCACAAUGAGGACGAUGAAGUAAUGAUGGAGGAAAACGACAUUGAUAUGAAAUUGAUAGGGGGAAGCAAAAACACACCUACAGAACUAUAUUUUCCUGUUUUUCUGUUUUUAUUUUUUUUAUCCAACACAACCCAAAACUCCAUAAAACACAGACACACACACACACCCACACUCCUUUUCUCCCCCCUGUGUGGUUUAGCACAAGCAGCUUGGCAGCUGCUGUCUGUUUACUAGGGGUGCAACGAUAUUCGUAUCGAUAUUGAACCGUUCGAUACAGUGCUUUCGGUUCGGUACGCAUAUGUAUCGAACAAUACAAUUUUUUUCAAAUUUUUUUUAUUUUUUAUUUUUAUUUAUUUAUUUAUUUUUUGUGUCCCGUUUGGAUCUAUAGCCAUCAGAAUUGUUGUCUUGAGGCCAAGAAAGAUGCCAAGAGGAUUUAUUUUACCAAGUGGAUCAUCAUAUUGGUCCAUUUGAUUGACCUUUAUUAUAAUUAUGAAUUUAUUUUAUUUUCAGUUGCAAACGGGACAGACAUGACUGUGGGAUAGGACAGGGGGAAAGAAUGAAAGAAAGAGGGGGAGAGAAAGAAAGAAAACCAAAGGGGAGAAAAAAAAAGAACAAUACAAAAUUUGUAAUUUAUUUUAUCAACUUUCCUUCUGACGAUGCUGUCUGUGUUGAGCGCUCAGUGAAUCUGCAUUUGACUACUCCGCCUAGGCUCGAGAGUGCAGCCUA
ensembl:lncRNA